AUGUUACAGCAUGAAGAAAUUAAAGAUGCACAGUCUGCUGGAAAAUUGCUUCAAGAGAAUGAAAUGUUUGCAUCAUCAUUCAUCUCACCUUCUGUUGUUCAAAGAAGGGUACUGGGUACUGACAUCUCAAAGGUGGCUGAUAUUUUAGAAGAGAAAUUUAAAACUAAGCUUGAAAAACAAACUUACCAAGAAGCAAGAGGGUUUCAAGGUAAAAGAUUUUGUCUUUUGUAAGAAAAAGAUAUUAAUGACUUUGUGUUCCCAUGUUGUAAGUAAAUGAUGUGAGAACAUUACUAAGUAUAGAAAUAACUUUUAGACAGUCAUGAGAUAAUAUAUAAAUAUACUGACCAAUGUGUAAAGAUUAAUUUGGUGAGUUAACAUACUGCUCAGUCUAUCUUAACUAAACUUUAUGUAAAAGGAAAGUGAUAGCUUUGUCUCAACCAAAUAACAGUAUUUGGCAUUAUGAAUUCUUAACAUAAUAUUAUACCCCAAAUUCAUCAGAGUAUAGCAGGAAAAAAUAUGCUUUGGGUUAUAAAUAAUUAAUGUUUUAGCUGGGUUUUGGGGUGUUCAAUGUAUAUUUUAUAAAACAUCAGUUUAUUCUUUUUCCCAACAUACAUAGCUUUUAUUAUGACCCAUCCAUAUCUUAUUGCAUUGGCUGAAACUUCCAAAGUAAUUUUUUAAACAGUUAUGAUGCAAGGAGAUCAAACCAGUCAAUCCUAAAGGAAAUCAGUCCUGAAUAUUCAUUGGAAGGACUGAUGCUGAAGCUGGAACUCCAAUACUUUGGCCACCAGAUAUGAAGAACUGACUCAUUGGAAAAGACCCUGAUGCUGGAAAAGAUUGAAGGCAGAAGGAGAAGAGAACAACAGAGGAUGAGAUGGUUGGAUGGCAUCACCAACUUGAUGGACUUGAGUUUGAGCUAGCUCCAGGAGUUGGUGAUGGACAGGGCAGCCUGGCGUGCUGCAGCAUGGGGUUGCAAAGAGUUGGACACAACUGAGUGACUGAACUGAGAGUAUGGAAGUAUUGCUCUUGUUUUGUGCUUUGAAAUGAGAGUGUCUCUAUGGUUUCACCUAUGAUGAUUAGUUACCUGAGAUAAAUAUUUUGAUUAUGGUCAGGAUGUUUUCUUUUGUUCAGAGUUUAUCAUGAAUUUUUAACCAGUAUUGAACUCAAUUUAAUCAACUGACCCAUUUUUUUCCAUUGUGAUAAAAUAUACAUAAAAUUUGACAUUUUAAUCAUCUUUAAAGUAUAAAAUUCAAUAGCAUCAACUGCAUUCAGUGUUGUGCAAUCAUCACUACAUCUAUAUCCACAACUUUCAUCACCCUGAAAAGAAACAUGUUAGGCAGUAACUCCCAAUCCUGCCUCCAUCCGGCCCCUGGUAACCUCUCACUUACUUUCUUUCACUUACUCACUUGCUUUCUUCCACUUACUUACUUUCUGUGGGUUUGGCUAUUAUGUUUCAUGUUAGUGGAAUUAUAUAUUUGUCCUUUUGCACCUGGCCUGUUUCACUUAGCAUAAUAUUUUCAAGGUUCACCACAGUUUAGCAUAUGUCCGAAUUUUGUUUCUUUUAUGAACUGUGGUGUUGGAGAAGAGAUCCAACCAGUCCAUCCUAAAGGAGAUCAGUCCUGGGUGUUCAUUGGAAGGUGAUGCUGAUGGUGAAGCUGAAACUCCAAUACUUUGGCCACCUGAUGCGAAGAGCUAACUCAUUUGAAAAGACCCUGAUGCUGGGAAAGAUUGAGGCAGAAGGAGAAGGGACGACAAAGGAUGAGAUGGUUGGAUGGUAUCACCGACUCAAUGGGCAUGAGUUUGGGUAAACUCUGAGAGUUGGUGAUGGACAGGGAGGCCUGGCGUGCUGCAGUUCAUGGGGUCGCAAAGAGUCAGACACAACUGAGCAAUUGAACUGAACUGAAUGUAUUAAUGUAUGACAUACCACAUUUUGUUUAUCCAUUCAUCUGCUGAUGGACAUUUAGAUUGCUUCCACUUUUGGCUACUGUGAAUAAUUCUACACGGAACAUGGUGUAGGAUAUCUGUUUAAAUCUCUGUUUUCAGUUGUUUGGGUAGGAGUAUAUUUGCUGGAUCAUAAAAUAAUUUUAAGUUUAGCUUUCUGAGGAACUGCACAACAGUUUUCCACAGUGGCUGCACUAUUUUCUGUUCCUAGUAACAAUGUACAAUGGUACACACCCUUGUUUUCCUUUUGUUUGAAUUAUGUUUAUUCCAGUAGGUAUGAAGUGUAUCUCAUUAUAAUUUUGAUUCAUUUUACUUAAUUAUUAAAGAUUAUAUGCAUCUUUUGUGUGCUUAUUGGUAAUUUGUUUAUCUUCUUUGGAAAAAUGUCUUUACAACUCCUUCACCAUUUUUUUUUAAUAUUUAAAGUAUUUAUUACCUACUUGACUUUAAAUCAAGUCUCAGUAAAACACAACAAAAUUGUGCCACCAUAUAAAUGAUAUCCU
ensembl:lncRNA